rnacentral:lncRNA from 1 species
UUAUUAAAACCAAGAGAAAUGAGUUCAAACCUGAAAAUGCAUUUGUAGUAUAAAGUCUAAAAUUAUCUGUGAUUUCUGCUUCCAUUUCAAAGUGAAAAUCAUGAUCAUUUGUAAUGAUCAAAAGCCAGCAGCUAAUGCCCACAGAAACCAGUGUAUAAAACAGAUAAAUAAUUUUCUUGGCUCAAAGACAUUACCCUAAAUGAAGACCAACUAAUACCAUAGAAAUGCAUAUUUUCAUUAUUCACAAUGCCACAAAGAUCUGAAUGACUUUGUUGAGAUUUCUUGUUGAACUUGAAAAUGAAAUCUU